rnacentral:rRNA from 1 species
UACGUAGGGUGCAAGCGUUGUCCGGAAUUAUUGGGCGUAAAGAGCUCGUAGGCGGUUUGUCGCGUCUGCUGUGAAAACUCGGGGCUUAACCCUGGGCCUGCAGUGGGUACGGGCAGACUAGAGUGCGGUAGGGGAGACUGGAAUUCCUGGUGUAGCGGUAAAAUGCGCAGAUAUCAGGAGGAACACCGGUGGCGAAGGCGGGUCUCUGGGCCGUAACUGGCGCUGAGGAGCGAAAGCGUGGGGAGCGAACAGG